CCCUUAGAUGUUCGGGGCCGCACGCGCGCUACACUGAAGGACUCAGCGUGUCUCUCCCCCUAUCCCGAAAGGGAUGGGCAACCCGUUGAACCUCCUUCGUGCUAGGGAUUGGGGUUUGCAAUUAUCCCCCAUGAACGAGGAAUUCCCAGUAAGCGCGAGUCAUCAGCUCGCGUUGAUUACGUCCCUGCCCUUUGUACACACCGCCCGUCGCUACUACCGAUUGGAUGGUUUAGUGAGACCCUCGGAUCGGUCCCGACUCGGGGUGGGCUUCUGCCCCGGUCGUGGUUUCGCCGAGAAGACGGUCAAACUUGACUAUCUAGAGGAAGAAAAAGUCGUAACA
rnacentral:rRNA from 1 species